rnacentral:tmRNA from 10 species
GGGGGCGACUUGGCUUCGACAGCAGAUACAAACCCUCAAGUGCAUGUCGAGAAGGUAGUAAUUCUCGUAAAUAAAUUGCUGCAAACUUGUUAGUUGGCGAAAACGCAGACUACGCUUUAGCCGCUUAAUUGGCUAACUGUCCUUGGUAACGUGCUCGUGCGCCUCCAAAGACAGACGACUACACGAGAUGCUGGAAUUGUUCUUCUCAUUGACAAUUUCUUAAGAAUUAAAUUGAGAUCGUUUUUUGAUCCCUGUUUAUCGGGUGUAAAAGAUUAAAUUAAUAGAUAAAACUAAACAUGUAGAUCUUGUGGCAGAGUACUGAUGGACGCGGGUUCAAUUCCCGCCGCCUCCACCA